CUCUGUGACUCCUACGGGAGGCAGCAGUCGGGGAAUAUUGCACAAUGGGGGAAACCCUGAUGCAGCCAUGCCGCGUGUGUGAAGAAGGCCUUCGGGUUGUAAAGCACUUUCAGUAGGGAGGAAGGUAGUGUAGUUAACACCUGCAUUAUUUGACGUUACCUACAGAAGAAGCACCGGCUAACUCCGUGCCAGCAGCCGCGGUAAUACGGAGGGUGCGAGCGUUAAUCGGAAUUACUGGGCGUAAAGCGCAUGCAGGCGGCCUGUUAAGUCAGAUGUGAAAGCCCCGGGGCUUAACCUCGGAAUUGCAUUUGAAACUGGCAGGCUAGAGUCUUGUAGAGGGGGUAGAAUUUCAGGUGUAGCGGUGAAAUGCGUAGAGAUCUGAAGGAAUACCAGUGGCGAAGGCGGCCCCCUGGACAAAGACUGACGCUCAGAUGCGAAAGCGUGGGGAGCAAACAGGAUUAGAUACCCCUGGUAG
rnacentral:rRNA from 1 species